rnacentral:rRNA from 1 species
UACGAAGGGGGCUAGCGUUGCUCGGAAUCACUGGGCGUAAAGGGUGCGUAGGCGGGUCUUUAAGUCAGGGGUGAAAUCCUGGAGCUCAACUCCAGAACUGCCUUUGAUACUGAGGAUCUUGAGUACGGGAGAGGUGAGUGGAACUGCGAGUGUAGAGGUGAAAUUCGUAGAUAUUCGCAAGAACACCAGUGGCGAAGGCGGCUCACUGGCCCGAUACUGACGCUGAGGCACGAAGCGUGGG